rnacentral:rRNA from 1 species
CGCCUCUUGAUGAAUUAUAAGAGGUCUAGCCUGCCCAGUGAAAUAUUUAACGGCCGCGGUACCCUGACCGUGCGAAGGUAGCAUAAUCACUUGUUCUUUAAAUAGGGACUAGUAUCAACGGCAUCACGAGGGUUACACUGUCUCCUUUCUCCAAUCAGUGAAACUGAUCUUCCCGUGAAGAAGCGGGAAUAUAACUAUAAGACGAGAAGACCCCAUGGAGCUUUAAAUUUACAGCAACUCAGUCAAAUAAACCCUUAUAAGUCACAGAAUUAUGCAUAACAAUUUUAGGUUGGGGUGACCGCGGAGUAAAAAUUAACCUCCACGACGAAUAGAACUAAACCUUUAUCCAAGAGCCACAACUCUAAGAAUUAGCACACUAACGAUUAAUGACCCGAUAAUCGAUCAACGGACCAAGUUACCCUGGGGAUAACAGCGCAAUCUACUUCAAGAGUUCAUAUCGACAAGUGGGCUUACGACCUCGAUGUUGGAUCAGGGUAUCCUAGUGGUGCAGCCGCUACUAACGGUUCGUUUGUUCAACGAUUAAAACCCU